UGGGAUUAUAGGCAUAGGGCACCAUGCCUGGCCUGGAAUAUGUAGUUUUUAAUGAGAUUUAAUGGUAUAAUACAUUCUACCUGGUUUGACUGCCUUCUUUUAACAUCUGGAUUCCAAUAUUCUGCUUGCAUUUCAGUCAGGUUUUUGCAAACAAUCCUGAAAUUCAUUUUAAAAAUAAGUUUUAUUUUCCCUAGUCUGAUUGUUAUUUAGCACAUCAAAUUAUUAUUGAACGGAUAACCUAAUGCUGAUUGGGCAAAUAGAUAGUGAGAAAAUACUACAAGUGGGCUUGUAGUAUUUUUUCAAACCAUAUUUUCCUUUUCUAGUGAUCAAGAUCUAAUUUGUAGACAAUCAGUACUCUCUACAUGGACAUGUAAUAUGAAUAGGUAUAUUAUUUCUGUCACAGGCAUCACAAACACAUAUCUUGCUUGAAAGUUGUCCAUCGCCUUCUUUAGUAUGACAAGACAAAAGAAAAACUGAUUUAUGAAGCAUAGUCACAUAUUGAACACGAGUUUUUUCUCAAAAUUUCAGCUAGAGAACCCUUACUGGUGCUUUUCCUUUUAUUGUGUUAUGUAAUCCAAGGUCAUAAUAAGUAACUAAAUUAUUGAUUUAGUUUUGCACUCUAAUCUCUCCAUUAUAUUUAAAAAUAGCAGCUAUAAGGCAAAACAAGUUCGCAGCGGGUACAUUGCCUCAAUUCCAAAAUCUAACAAGCAGAAAUUUAAUUCAGUGCUUUGCUAUUUCAUACUAUAGACACCUAAUGUUCUAUCCUGUAAUGGACACACAGUGGCUGUCUUUAUAGUUCUGUUAGCUCAAGUGAUAUCUUUAUGUAAAAUUUUUCUAAUACUGUUUUUUUCAUUUGUUAAUCUUUCUUAAGGUAUGAUUGACUGAUAAAAAUUGUAUAUAUUUAAGGUACACAAGAUGUUUUGAUAUACGUAUACAUUGCAAAAUGAUUACCACACUCAAGCUAAUUAACAUAUCCAUCACCUCACAAAGUUACCUUUGUGUGUGUAUGUAUGGUGAGAACAACCUACUCUCAGAAAAUGUCAAGUGUACAAUAUGUUAUCAUUAACUAUAGUCACCAUGCUGUCCAGUAGGUCUCCAGAACUUUCAAGCACACUCCAAAACAUCAACUUCUAUUCUGAUUAAGUCUCAAAUAUGUCUUCAUGUUGCAAAUAAUAGCUAUUUUUAGAUUAGCUAUAAAUAAUGAACAACAUUGGCAUAAAGGAUGGAAAAGAAUAAAUGAAGGUAAGGGCUCUAAGGUCUUUGCAUUUUCCAGGAAGUGAUAAAAGCUGCAAUUGAACUUAUACAUGAAGAAGUCAAGGAUGGCAAGUCCUAUAAACAGAUGAUACUUCAAAACUGGAGUGUCUAGUGCUAAGCAGCCUGGACCCUGCACACAGCACACCUGUCUUUGGCAUGAUAGGAAGAUGAGGGACCCAGAUCUUCUCCCAUGCUGCCCUUGGCCUUUAUGUUUUCCCUUUCAUCAGUAAAGGUUCUCCCUUAAUUAUCACCCUAUGACCGAAAAUUCAUCCUAAGCCUGGACACAUAAAAGGUGGCAACUCUGAAACAGGCCCUGGGCAUGACACCACAUGAGGCCACACCCAGAACAAAUUGCAAAAACUAACAAGGUAUUUCUUACAGAAUCCCUAAGAGAACAUGUCUGUCUGGAUUUAAGUGUCUACAGUCAUAAAUACACAGCAUAUGGUUGGAUCUGAUGGAACUGAAAGCCUUUUAAUGCUUCCCCGUGCCCAUCACUCUCAUUGUCCUGAAGUGGUGUUGUCAGUGGCCUCAGCAGGGUGCCGUGAGAAUGGUGAGGCUACACACAUGUGAUAUUGACCAAGCUGGCUACACAGAUGAGCCAGACUCACUCUGUGAUGUAGACAAGAGCUCACCAAUGGAGUUCCAUGAAUGGAUGACAGGCAUGCCACUGUAAUAAUCCCCUCAACCAUGACAGAAGUCAGGCAAGACCCAGGCCAUGGGAACCUUGAAAACAGUCACCUCUAGCCUCAAGCAUUUCCUGCUGUUUGCCACACUGUGCCUACAAAUGUCAUUUAUGAUACAGCUUCAAAUUUUCAUGCUUAUUAAAAUUAUUAUCAGCCUUAUCCAAUCUGACAUUUUGAAUGAAAUCAUAUUAAAACUAUAUAUUAAUUGAACACUGGCAUCUUCAUAAUAGUGAGUCUUCUACAGGUUCCUAGACCACUAAAAAAUCAUGAAUUGCUGCCUUUGACUUGAAAUGGGUUGUCCUUAUUCUCUUCCUAGUCAGACCAGGGAAAGGUACAGAUUCACGGCAGCUAGUCCAGCAAGCUUCUAAUAUUCAACUGCUAAUUGUCUGCUUUAGGACAAAAAAGAAAUGAUAUCCUUAGGAAGACUACCAUGCAAAUGAUUCUAUCUGAACCAUCCUUACAUAAUAGCAUUUCUUAUAAUGUGUCCUUAACAUACUGCUUUGCAUAUAUUUCUCCAACAUCUCCAAAAAUCCUCUUAGCCCAGAGUUCCUCAAACUUAAAUGUGCAUGUAAAUUAUGACCUUGUUAAAAUGCGGAUUCUAAUCCAAUCAGUCUGGAGUACAGCCUAAGACUCCCUGUAUUUUGAACGAGAGUCUAAGUGAUGCCAAAGCUGCCAGUCCAUGGCCCACAUGGAGUAGCCAAGGUCUAGAUGAGACCUACAAUAAUUACAGGCAUAAUGCUGCUCUUCUCAAGUAUCAUUUUUCACACUUCCUGGACUAGCUCAGAUACAACCCUACUUACCACAUAUAUCUCUGUACUCCAAAUAUUAUGUAAUCAGUUUUCCUAAAUCUAGGCACCAACGUUUAAAAAUAUAGUUUCAUGAUGUAAAUAGAAAUUAAGUUUCUAUAAUAAAUACACUAAGUACCUAGUGACAUUCAUCCAUCUUUAAUGUGAGUAGCAAAAAGCAAAGGCGCUAUCUCAAUGGUUUCUGAGUGAGACGUUAGCAAAUGCUAUCUGUAUGGAGAAACCGCUGGGCUGCUUUUUAGGAUGAGAGAAAAGUGGGGUAAAGUGAAGAGAACUGGAUGAACAUGGGACAGAGACAGGGACAGGGCAAAUAUGGGAACGUCUGCCUCAAAGAAGCAGCAAAUGAUAUAGAAAAUAAACAUCUGUUCCAUCGCUCUUCCAGACAAGUAGGAAGUUGCGUAUAACAAUGCAACGAGGAAUGACCCGGGCCCUGGUGAAGUCAACAGCAACAGUCAUCACAGGCAAAUCUGCCUAUCAGGGGCUGGGGACUCUAAACUCCCGCCUCCCAACCCAGGAAUCAGAGCCUGAGACAGACAGAUGCUUCAUUCCUAUAUGGGGUGGUAUUCCUGCCAUGGGUCCUGGGCUUCUCCACUGGGUGGCCCUUUGUCUCCUUCGAGCAGGUCAUGGGGAUGCCAUGGUCAUCCAGAACCCAAGAUACCAGGUUACCCAGUUGGGAAAGCCAGUGACUCUGAGUUGUUCUCAGAAUCUGAACCAUAAUGCCAUGUACUGGUACCAGCAGAAGCCAAGUCAGGCCCCAAAGCUGCUGUUGUACUACUAUGACAAAGCUUUGAACAAUGAAGCAGACACCCCUGAUAACUUCCAAUCCAGAAGGCCGAACACCUCUUUCUGCUUUCUUGACAUCCGCUCAUCAGGCCUAAGGGAUGCAGCCAUGUACCUGUGUGCCAGCAGCAGAGACACAGAGCUGCAGUGCUAUCUCCCCUCUGUUCAUAAACCUCAUCGUUUCCCAGAUCCAGGUGCUUUCUCUAGGACUCCUCCCACACCAACUCUUACAACAAUAGGAAGUGGGUUUGUGGCUGUCAAUAUCUCAUCUGUAAACAGCAGUUAGGCGCAAAUCAAUAAAAACCAUUGACAGUUAUGCCAAGAGUGGAAAAGUGGUUACACAUGCCUGGCAUUCAGCUUGCGGUAUUUCCCAGGAUCAUAUUGAGAGCCCAUGCUGUCCUUUUCAGAAGAUGAAUAGAAGCCUUUUCCUUCCUCUUUGAUCGUUUUAAUCUAAGUCAGAGGCUUAGAAAUAUAAGAGGUGAUAUGUGAAGGAUUAUGGAGACCCAAGGUCAUAUAAACUCAAGUCUCUGGCAUUUGAUUUGAUUAAACCUUAUAGGGUUUCAUACUCCUGGAUAAUUCACAUGUUUUUAGCCCAGACCUGGAGCAACUACCUCAUUAAUGGGAGAAUGAAAACACAAGUAUCACAAGAUAAAAAUCUCUCAGGGAAAAAAAAAACCACAUUGAAGAGAGGGAAAAAAAGGGAAGACCAUACAUUCAUCUGCUCCUAUCUGGAGUUAGAGGUACUAUUGUGAUGGCCAAAUGGAAACCAUAAAUAUAUAAAGAAAUCAAACUGAAAAUAGAGUACAUUUGGAGAUGAAGAUCAUGGAGCCAUCGGUAUAGAAGAGAGUAAUAAUGUCACUGAGGUGCAUAAGGGCUCCAGCAAACGUCAGUAAAAGAACAGCUCCAGGAGGGAAGAAGAAGGGAGCUCCUGCUCCCCUGAAUGAAGAUAAACAAAAUGCUGAGCGAGUAAUAUUGAAACCUCAUAAAUUGUCACAUGGAAGCAUACAUUUACAAAUUAUCUUAUAAUUAACAUCCCUCGAUGAGAAUGGUAUUUUGAUUAAAAAAAGCAGAAAAUAUAGUUAUAUGGCUAUCUAAACAUGUAAAAUUUUGCACAUUGAAUAAAGAUAAUCUUAAAAAAGACAAAAUCUAUUACAAAAGAGCUUUUACAUUGUUUUAUUGAUAUUAAUGAUAAUAUAAUGAUAGCUAACAUUUACUAAGCACUUACUACAUGCUAGACCUUAAGUCUUCUUCACGUAUAUUUAUAGUUCAUGUAAGCUUUACAACAACCUCAGAAAGUAGGUACUAUUGUAAUCUCACUCAUUUAUCGAUGGGGAAACUGAGACACAGACAAGUAACUAGCCCUUUAUCACAUCUCGUUUGUGGUGGAGCCAGGAUCGAAAUGUAGACAAUUUACUUCUGAAGCUCAUUCUCUCUUGAGAGUUUAUGUGGGUUCUAAGCCAGACCUUCGGAUAGGAAGGUAAAUGGUGAUAAGCUGGAAGAUUUCCACACUCCAACCCAACAUUGCACUCACUUUCCUUUGCGUCUUGGCCAGAGGGGUGAGCCCCUGUGACUAUGCCUCACUGGUUGACUAGCACUGAGUGGCACUGAGGGCCAACAUAGAGUAAGAAGGUCUUUAGGAUAAACCUGGGAGGAUGAAGGGUCAAAAAUGCUGAGCUUAAAGCUUGAUCCUGAGGGAUCCUUUAAAGAUGGAUGAGCCACCCUGAGAACGUGAGAAAUUAAACAUAAACUCUUUAACUUGUAGAGAUGCUGAGGUGCUUUCCUCAAGCAGUAAACUUUGAACCGUGGUUAUGUGCACGGUAGGGAAACUAUGAGGAUGGAACAUGGAUGAAGAAGUGGCUGGAUGUUCAGGAGCAGUUGCAGGCAGAAAAUCAGCUGCCUCCAAGAGUGGCGGGAGAAGCUGUGGAGCACCUCUAUCCAGACUCACCCAACAUGCAGUCCGGAAAGCUGGGAGAUACGGGGAAAGGGGCAUCAUAAACUGCAAGUUGACUAUGUCAAGAAAGGACACUUGGAAUCCGAGAGUGGGUACGUGUGGUGGUAUCACAGAUAUACACCCACCACCCAUUGGGACAGAAGAAACAGAAGAGCACUUUCACCACAGGGACUAGAACCCUGGAUUUAGCUAGAGAGGCUGGCUUAGACAUUUUCAUGAUUCCUCUGUAUGAACCAUACGAUUUAGAACCAUACUAUUUAGAGGUGAUUGAUUAAUUUAUAUGACCUGCAUAAAGUCUGUCUUUCUGGAGGAAGCUCAGGUUCAAUAAAAAUAAAAUGAUUUCUCUCUUGUCCUUCUCAGUCUUUCCUCCUUCUGUCUUUUCUUUCUUUCUGUCUGCCUUCCUCAUUAAGAAUAGACAUGAACUAGUCACCUGUAUGCUUUCUGAGGUAUGCUGUUAGUGCUGACAACACAUUAGUUUGAUCUAGAAAAACUAACUCUGUUUUAUUUUAUCCGAGAGUCUGGGACCCCUCUUUGAUCCAAAAAACUUGCCAACUUCUUACCAAGCAAAUAUGUGCAGGGUUUUAGAGAGCCGUAGGUAACAGAGACAAAAUAGAAACAGCACACAUAAUUUGGAGGCAGAGCCCUUAGAACUCUGAAGCUUGAGGCCCCCUGAUGCCCCAAGCCUGCCUAUGGCAUCAGGUUCCUCUGCUAUGAGCCCCUUUUCCUCCUGAGAGCAGUGAGUCCUAGGCAUGGAUGGCCUGUCCACCUUGGGCGCUCACACUGUAGUCUGUUUCCACACCUUCCUCUAGUAAUUCAAUAUUCACUCUCAUUUUUCUCUCCAGCCCCUGCUCCUGUACUCUAGUCCCACAGACUCUGUGCAUAUCCUGAUCACAAAGACAGAAACAGAAGUGACACUAAGAUGUGAGUGAUGAAACUUACAAUGCUGUAAACAAGACUCAGGGCUUGGGCUGGCACUGAUGUUUAUUCUUAUGCCAUUUUUUCAGGAAAUAUGUAUUUAGGAACUCCUGUAUAGCAGACAUUAUUCCAGGUUCUGGGAAUAAGGUAAUGAACAAAUCAGACAGACUUGUUUAAAACUCCUGGAAGUUAUAAACCAAACAGGUGUACAUGAUGAGAACAAUGCUACUCUGGACAAGAAGGAACCUGUUACCUUAAUGCUGGCCAGUGCAAACCCAGUCUGGCAGACAUCUGUGAGCCUCCAGACUUGUAAAGAAUCCUAUACCUGUAUAGAUCUUUGCAUUUAAGGGCAAGCCUAGACAGGGGAGAACAUCACUCUCAUGAAUCCAUGCCCUAAGAAAGAGAAGAAACUUCCCUCAUAGGAACAUUGGUGCAGUCUCACAGUCUUCUUACCAAGUGGGAAAAUUAGAACUGCUAAAACUUUGUGCCAGAAUUUAAGACAAAUUGUCUUGGUCAUGCAUUAUUUACAGUGCAUUUAAUUAUUUUCCCUAAUAUAAAUCUGUUGAUGAACCACUUAUGUGGUGCAUAAAUUAGACUUAUAUUAAAAUGUUGGAUGUGGUGCUUUAGAAGAUAUAUUAAAAUCAUUAGAGUCUGGCCUAAAUUUUUAAUAUGAAUAAAAAAUAUAAAGUACCACAGCUUGUUCAGAAGAAAUAGGGUGUCUGAAAUCUACCAGAAUAGCUUUCUAAAAGCCAGUAUGUAUCUUACAGCCUUUAGUGUGCUGAAACACUUAUAAUGAUGGAUUGAAUAAAUGGAUAUUUGAGUGGAUAAGGUUCACUCGUACAAGAAAGAAUUGGUACUUCCUAGCUAUAGAAUGUCAGUUUCAGAAGAUGAGAAGGAAUGUGUCCUCAUUCUCAUUUUAAUUUUGAAAGACAAGGCAGCAAUUCCUACUAUGGAAUAGUUUAUUGCCUCACCACCUGUAGAGAUCAACAACACUAGAUAUUUGCAACUCUCUAAGAGGCCAAGAAGGAUUAACCCGAGGUCAGAUUCAGGUAACUGAUCGUGACUCAUGAAUUUUCAGCGAUCUCCAAUGGUUGUUUUUAAAUUUUGAGCUGUUAUGGUUUUUUCCUCUGAGGAGAGGGUAUUCAAAGCCCCUCAUGUUGCCAUUCUGGGACUACUUCUCCCCUCCAGCCCCCUGCCCAUAAAAGUUUACAGAAAUAGGUAUCCAGACUGUGGGCUGUAGUUCACCAACCCCUGCUCUAGCCUAAUUUGUCUCAUUACUAGAGCAUGGCCAUUCUGCAGGUACUGGUGAAGCCUUUCUGGGGUUUCUCUCCAAUGCCUUUUAAAGCUUUUCCCUACACAGACACAGAUUGUUGUUUAACCAAAAAUUUAAGAUAAUUCCUCCCAACAGCUGGAGUUCUUGUUCAGCUUCUUCCUCUCUGGAGGGCUUUCCUUGAACACUCUAGCUGCCUCAGCCCCGCUGAUUUUGUAACCUCUGUUUCCGCAACUCAAAAUUUGCCAUGCUCUGUUGUUCUGUUCACCACUCUGUGUGUACAGAAAUUGCCCCCAUGUUUUGGUGCUUUAGCAGAAUCACAGUCCUGUACUGCCUGCUUUCCAGUGGCUGAAUACAAUUGUUUCAUAUGUCCUGUUAAUUUGUAUUACUUGUAUAAAGCAAGAUGCCAAAGGCAAUUGGGUUCUAUCAAGUGAUCAUGUCACAGAGAAGCCACUGAUAGAGGCAGGGAGAGCCGCACAGAUAGCCACCUGCCUCUGCUGCUUGCUCUUCCCCUAAUUCUUCCAUGCGCCCAAUAUCCACCUGCUUCCUGAUCCUUUGUCUCCUGGCUGCAGGUAAGUCCCUGUUCUGCACUUGUCAGCCCCCUGCUCUAAACCUUUAAUCCAUGUCAUCAAACUCCCUCAUGGGCUCAAUCUCCAACUCCUGUCUGCUUUCUUUACAGGUUCUCCUGGUGAAGAAGUCACCCAGACUCCAAGACAUCUUGUCAAAGGGAAAGGACAGAAAGCAAUAUUAUAUUGUGUCCCAAUAAUAGGACAUGGUUAUGUUUUCUGGUAUCAACAGGUCCGGAAAGAGUUCAAGUUCUUGAUUUCCUUCCAGAAUGAAAACAUCUUUGAUGAAACAGCCAUGCCCAAGAAAAGAUUUUCAGUAAAGUGCCCCCAAAAUUCACCCUGUAGCCUUGAGAUUCAGGCUACAGGAUCCCAGGAUUCAGCAGUGUAUUUUUGUGCCAGCAGCCAGUCCACAGUGUUAAAUAUUAGCUAAUCUUAGGGUACAAACUCAUCACAGACCCAGCUCAGGAAGCAGGUGGUGUACUAGUUUGGAAGGAAAUAACAUAAACUACAGCUAGCUUAAGCCAAAGCGGAAUGUAUUACAAGGCUGAAUGUAUGUCACAUAGAACCACAAAACAAGAACACAGAAACUUCUCGGAAAUAAACUGCAGUGAAACCUUAGAACCAUGGCAUGGCCGAUUGACAACUCAUUUUGCAUAUAUUUUGUGGGCCUCAUUAUUCUCUUUUAAUAUAAAUUGUCCUUUCUCUUUCUUAGGUCUCAUGGUGAUUCGAAAAUUGCAGAUUCAGAUGUCAGCCUUCCAGUUAAUUGAGACUAACCUGAUUUUCUCUCAUGCUAGAUUACAAAUGCAGAUUGCAGGAGGAAAAAAAAAAUGUGAUCCUGCUUUACACAAGAAUAUGUUCAUGGAAAUCCAAAGGAAUUGAGUUAUUUUGAACAAGAUAGUAUCUGGGAGCCUGUCCCUCUGAUCUUAUGGACGAAGGAUUUCAGGGGGUGGUAUCCAGUCAGGACAUCCAAUAGGCAUCCAACACAAGUGAGAAAUCAAGGAUAAUUAAUACAUUUUCUGGAAUAUAGAGACCUUGGGAAAGAGAAGGGUUUGGAGAGGGGAUCAAAACCUUAGUAUUUAGAACAAUGUCAGACCACAUAGAAAAUCUGAUUAAUCUUUCCUUAAGAAAUUAAACCUAGAUAACACAGAAAGCAUGUCCAUUUUAAGUGUGACUUCAGAUCCUACAAAUUCACUCAUUGGCCUCUAUGGCACUGAAAGAGAGCAGAUUAAUGUGUUCUUGGUGUAAAACAUAUUAAUGCACAGACAAUUAGAAAAUUUCAAGUAUAUUAUUCAAAUUGUAAUGAGGGGCAAGGUAUUCAACAUCAUUAUUCCUAAUGAGGCAUUAUGGUAUCAACACUACCUAGGCAGGAGACUAUACUUAUGUUGAGAGUUACAGAAUUCAAAAUACCUCUGCUAAAAUUUGAUAAUCCAUUCUGUUCACAAAUCUGGUCACCACCUAGUAUUCACCUUAAGAAAAUUUCCUUUAUUCUCUCCAAUUAAAUCUAUUCUUAUUUCAGAAUAAGUUGAACCUCUUUGUCUUACUUCCAGAAGUCCAAAAUUCCCUCCUGGAAGUAAGUGUAUUUUGGGAAAACAUUCACUCUGACUCCUUGAAACAGAAGUUCUCACUUUAUC